GCUCAGAUUGAACGCUGGCGGCAGGCCUAACACAUGCAAGUCGAGCGGUAGCACAGAGAGCUUGCUCUCGGGUGACGAGCGGCGGACGGGUGAGUAAUGUCUGGGAAACUGCCUGAUGGAGGGGGAUAACUACUGGAAACGGUAGCUAAUACCGCAUAACGUCGCAAGACCAAAGUGGGGGACCUUCGGGCCUCAUGCCAUCAGAUGUGCCCAGAUGGGAUUAGCUAGUAGGUGGGGUAACGGCUCACCUAGGCGACGAUCCCUAGCUGGUCUGAGAGGAUGACCAGCCACACUGGAACUGAGACACGGUCCAGACUCCUACGGGAGGCAGCAGUGGGGAAUAUUGCACAAUGGGCGCAAGCCUGAUGCAGCCAUGCCGCGUGUGUGAAGAAGGCCUUCGGGUUGUAAAGCACUUUCAGCGGGGAGGAAGGCGUUAAGGUUAAUAACCUUGGCGAUUGACGUUACCCGCAGAAGAAGCACCGGCUAACUCCGUGCCAGCAGCCGCGGUAAUACGGAGGGUGCAAGCGUUAAUCGGAAUUACUGGGCGUAAAGCGCACGCAGGCGGUCUGUCAAGUCGGAUGUGAAAUCCCCGGGCUCAACCUGGGAACUGCAUUCGAAACUGGCAGGCUAGAGUCUUGUAGAGGGGGGUAGAAUUCCAGGUGUAGCGGUGAAAUGCGUAGAGAUCUGGAGGAAUACCGGUGGCGAAGGCGGCCCCCUGGACAAAGACUGACGCUCAGGUGCGAAAGCGUGGGGAGCAAACAGGAUUAGAUACCCUGGUAGUCCACGCCGUAAACGAUGUCGAUUUGGAGGUUGUGCCCUUGAGGCGUGGCUUCCGGAGCUAACGCGUUAAAUCGACCGCCUGGGGAGUACGGCCGCAAGGUUAAAACUCAAAUGAAUUGACGGGGGCCCGCACAAGCGGUGGAGCAUGUGGUUUAAUUCGAUGCAACGCGAAGAACCUUACCUGGUCUUGACAUCCACAGAACUUUCCAGAGAUGGAUUGGUGCCUUCGGGAACUGUGAGACAGGUGCUGCAUGGCUGUCGUCAGCUCGUGUUGUGAAAUGUUGGGUUAAGUCCCGCAACGAGCGCAACCCUUAUCCUUUGUUGCCAGCGGUUCGGCCGGGAACUCAAAGGAGACUGCCAGUGAUAAACUGGAGGAAGGUGGGGAUGACGUCAAGUCAUCAUGGCCCUUACGACCAGGGCUACACACGUGCUACAAUGGCAUAUACAAAGAGAAGCGACCUCGCGAGAGCAAGCGGACCUCAUAAAGUAUGUCGUAGUCCGGAUUGGAGUCUGCAACUCGACUCCAUGAAGUCGGAAUCGCUAGUAAUCGUAGAUCAGAAUGCUACGGUGAAUACGUUCCCGGGCCUUGUACACACCGCCCGUCACACCAUGGGAGUGGGUUGCAAAAGAAGUAGGUAGCUUAACCUUCGGGAGGGCGCUUACCACUUUGUGAUUCAUGACUGGGGUGAAGUCGUAACGAGGU
rnacentral:rRNA from 1 species